GACGAACGCUGGCGGCGUGCUUAACACAUGCAAGUCGAACGGAAAGGCCCUGCUUUUGUGGGGUGCUCGAGUGGCGAACGGGUGAGUAACACGUGAGUAACCUGCCCUUGACUUUGGGAUAACUUCAGGAAACUGGGGCUAAUACCGGAUAGGAGCUCCUGCUGCAUGGUGGGGGUUGGAAAGUUUCGGCGGUUGGGGAUGGACUCGCGGCUUAUCGGCUUGUUGGUGGGGUAGUGGCUUACCAAGGCUUUGACGGGUAGCCGGCCUGAGAGGGGGACCGGCCACAUGGGGACUGAGAUACGGCCCAGACUCCUACGGGAGGCAGCAGUGGGGAAUAUUGCACAAUAGGCGGAAGCCUGAUGCAGCAACGCCGCGUGCGGGAUGACGGCCUUCGGGUUGUAAACCGCUUUCGACUGUGACGAAGCGUGAGUGACGGUAAUGGGUAAAGAAGCACCGGCUAACUACGUG
rnacentral:rRNA from 1 species